UACUUUCUUCUUAACACCACACAGAAAACCAGCCGGUCGCCCAGAGCUGGAUGGGUCUAUUGUUACGCAAGCUCGGCCUGCCACUUCAGCUUGGGACCCAGUUGACGGAACUUUUCCUGACAAGCCUUGGAGGGUCAACCGGAUGUACUGCCAUCCGUCGCAUGCUACGGCGAGUGGCAACCAAUGAUGUUCUAAAACCGUAUAGCCUGCAGGGCAGAAAGGCAUAGAUGGCCUUCCUGGACCUGACAAUCUGCAGGGUAAUAACAGGCAGGUCUCUCAAAAAAACUU